rnacentral:lncRNA from 1 species
UUCUCUGCAGAAGAAAAAGGGAUCGUUGGGAAAAAAGACCUAAAAAAUAGAUCCAGAAGAGACAAUUUAAGAAACAUUGGACUACCAGAAAAUCAUGACCAAAGAAAAAAGUCUGGAUAUCAUUAUACAGGAAAUUAUUCAAGAAAACUGCUCAGGCAUUCUUGAACAAGAGGGUAAAGUAGACAUUGAAAGAAUCCACAGACCACCUGCUGCAUUUAAUAGCUAAUUGACAACACCAAGGAAUGUUAUAGCCAAGUUCAAGAAUUUCCAGAAUAAGGAAAAGAUGCUACAAUGAAACCAUUCAGAUAUCAUGGAUGCACAGUUAGGAUAACACAGGAACUGGCUGCAUCCACUCUGAUGGACUGCAAGGCAAAAAAUAUGAUAUUACAGAAUAUGAAAUAUGAAACUGGGUCUACAACCAAGAAUCAACUACCCAGCAAUAUUGAUUAUAGUCAUGCACUGGAAAUUUUGGUAAUUUAAUUUUAAAAAGACUUCCAAGCAUUCCUAAAGAAAAGACCUGACAUACAGAAAAUUUCAUACCCCAAAACAGAACUCAAGAGAAUCACCAAAAGAAACAUUUAUUGUGAUCAUAAUGGAAAGCCAACCAAACAGACCCAUCUAUGAACUGGCAUAGGUUGAUCUCCCUGCAGGCUGUGGAGUAUUUGCAAGGUGAAAGAGAAUGCAGAUGGCCAGGCCUUGUGCAUUUUAAAAGUUCAGAAGCUCUAGCCACUUACAGAAAGUCUGGGGCCUGGGGUCCAGGCUGGGCUAUGCUUAAAAGCAAAAAAAAAAAAAAGAGAGAGAGAGAAUCUUCCAUUGUUCAGUGAGAGAUUUAUUCUGAAACAAAAGUAACAGAGCAUCAUGAGGGCUUGACUAAAGCCUAUUGAGUUCUCUGGGAUUAUGAACUAAUAAAGAAUACUUGAGACAGAUUCUUUAAAGCUGG